rnacentral:rRNA from 1 species
GACGAACGCUGGCGGCGUGCUUAACACAUGCAAGUCGAACGGAAAGGCCCUGCUUUUGUUGGGUUCUCGAGUGGCGAACGGGUGAGUAACACGUGAGUAACCUGCCCUUGUCUUUGGGAUAACUUCAGGGAACUGGGGCUAAUACCGGAUAGGAUCUCCUGCUGCAUGGUGGGGGUUGGAAAGUUUCGGCUGUUGGGGCUGGACUCGCGGCUUAUCAGCUGGUUGGUGGGGUAGUUGCUUACCAAGGUUUUGACGGGUAGCCGGCCUGGGAGGGUGAACGGCGACAUUGGGACUGAGAUACGGCGCAGACUCCUACGGGCGGCAGCAGUGGGGAAUAUUGCACAAUGGGCGGAAGCCUGAUGCAGCAACGCCGCGUGCGGGAUGACGGGCUUCGGGUUGUAAACCGCUUUCGCAUGUGACGAGGCGGGAGUGACGGUAAUGGGUAAAGAAGCACCGGCUAACUACGUG